rnacentral:rRNA from 1 species
CGAGGAAUUUUCCGCAAUGGGCGAAAGCCUGACGGAGCAACGCCGCGUGGGGGAAGAAGGCCUUCGGGUUGUAAACCCCUGUUGCGAGGGAAGAAGAUCUGACGGUACCUCGCGAGGAAGCCACGGCUAACUACGUGCCAGCAGCCGCGGUAAUACGUAGGUGGCAAGCGUUGUCCGGAUUUACUGGGCGUAAAGCGCGCGCAGGCGGACUGGUCAGUCCGGGGUGAAAUCUCACGGCUCAACCGUGAGGGGUCCCUGGAUACUGCCAGCCUUGAGGGGCUCAGAGGAGAGUGGAAUUCCGGGUGUAGUGGUGGAAUGCGUAGAUAUCCGGAGGAACACCAGUGGCGAAAGCGGCUCUCUGGGGGCAACCUGACGCUGAGGCGCGAAAGCGUGGGGAGCGAACCGGAUUAGAUACCCUAGUAGUCCCUGAGCGGGCUGGCAAGGCGCAU